rnacentral:rRNA from 1 species
UACGGGGGGGGCAAGCGUUGUUCGGAAUUACUGGGCGUAAAGGGCGCGUAGGCGGCCUGCUAAGUCGAACGUGAAAUCCCUGGGCUCAACCCAGGAACUGCGUCCGAUACUGGUUGGCUUGAAUCCGGGAGAGGGAUGUGGAAUUCCAGGUGUAGCGGUGAAAUGCGUAGAUAUCUGGAGGAACACCGGUGGCGAAGGCGGCUACCUGGACCAGCACUGACACUGAGGCACGAAAGCGUGGGGAGCAAACAGG